rnacentral:rRNA from 1 species
UACGGGGGGGGCAAGCGUUGUUCGGAAUUACUGGGCGUAAAGGGCUCGUAGGCGGCCAACUAAGUCAGACGUGAAAUCCCUCGGCUUAACCGGGGAACUGCGUCUGAUACUGGAUGGCUUGAGUUUGGGAGAGGGAUGCGGAAUUCCAGGUGUAGCGGUGAAAUGCGUAGAGAUCGGAAGGAACGUCGAUGGCGAAGGCAGCCACCUGGCAUGAUACUGACGCUGAGGCGCGAAAGCGUGGGGAGCGAACAGG